rnacentral:rRNA from 1 species
GGGUUGUGAGGUUAAGCGACUAAGCGUACACGGUGGAUGCCUUGGUAGUCAGAGGCGAUGAAGGACGUGCUAAUCUGCGAUAAGCGUCGGUAAGGUGAUAUGAACCGUUAUAACCGGCGAUUUCCGAAUGGGGAAACCCAGUGUGAUUCGUCACACUAUCAUUAACU